AGCUGCCGAACCACAUGCUUCUCCUACUGGUCCAAACGAUGGCAAUCUCAAUGCAAUUACGCCAACAUUGGCUCCUCCCCAGUCUCUUCCCAUGAUCGAGACAACCAAUGAGAGACACAUCCCAAUUGAGAACGUUGCUGAAAGCAGUUUUACUGAACCGGCUGCUGGCAUGGAAUAUCGCAUCAGACUGAUGGAGAAUAUCGAACUGUUGGCUCAUGCAAAUAGAAAGAUUGUAAGUAAAGGCGAAGGGG